GAAGCUGUCGUGAGUUCUCUUUGUUUCGUGUUAAUCGUUGUUUACUUGGAUUUUUCCUCAUUUUUGUCCGAGGAUGUUCGUAUUCCAGCCUGGUACUAAGGUCUAAUAUGUAGUACGCCUGUGACAAGAAGAAGACGACGAUGAAGCAGCAGACAUAACUGAGGUUGUAUCCAUGGAUGUGGAAUCAUCAGACGAAGAAGAAAAUGUCCGUGUUGGGCCUUCAGAUGAUGUAGAAGAGUCCGAUAUGUCCAUGCUUAAACGCAGCU